rnacentral:rRNA from 1 species
UACGAAGGGGACUAGCGUUGUUCGGAAUUACUGGGCGUAAAGCGCGCGUAGGCGGAUCGCUAAGUUAGAGGUGAAAGCCCGGGGCUCAACUCCGGAAUUGCCUUUAAGACUGCAUCGCUAGAAUUGUGGAGAGGUAAGUGGAAUUCCGAGUGUAGAGGUGAAAUUCGUAGAUAUUCGGAAGAACACCAGUGGCGAAGGCGACUUACUGGACACAUAUUGACGCUGAGGUGCGAAAGCGUGGGGAGCAAACAGG